ACUAAUAAAAAUAAAUGGAAAAAAAAAGAGGACUCAAGGGAAAUGCCAAGGUUUGGGGCCUGAGCAACAAUAGAACACACAACUGGUAAAAAUUCUACACUCUGUGUUCCUAAUGAUUCUAUGUAUCAAUUUUAUUUAUAAAACUAUUUUAACUUCUGUUUUACCCUUUGAUGUUUCAAAAGUAGGGGCCCAAUCAACUAAAAAGUUCUAACACUUUGAAUGCUCUUGGUGGACAUGGAGCGGCUCUGUGUAAAUCAGUAUACUAGCAGUCACUGCUGAGGACACCGCUACCUCCAGUACUUACUAGACAGCGUAACAUCAACAUGAGGCUACUUGGAACGUACAGAACUAUUAGAUGACAUGGCCACUGUCUCCUGUUGGGGAAGUCAUGUAACUUGCUGGGUAAAUUGUACUAGUACCUUGCACAAUGAAACUUGUGAGUGGUGGAAUACAAACCGAAGCUUCCAUGUCCUUGAGCCACACCCUGAAAAUUCUGGAAGCUCUGCACAGAGGCGCUGGACUUCACCACAUUCUCAUGGCUCACUGUUACCUAAGGAGCAGCAAGUUCAUUGCGACUGCUCUGGAUACCUGGCAGAGGAACUUAACGACACGUAAAGAGGAAGGCACCAUCUUUCCAGCAAAUGGCAGAGAACUUCAUGUGUCUGUUUUUCAGACCGAAGCCUAAGAGGUGAUCAGGAAAACUACUAUUAUGGAGGUGAAACACAGUCACAGCCUGAUAACACGCCUUAAUUCAAACAAUAUUUGGAAAUACCUAGAAAUACUGA